rnacentral:lncRNA from 10 species
GACCACUCUGGCUGAUGUGUGGAGAAUAGACCGAAGGGAGGUAUAGAUGCGGGGUGUCCAGUGAGGACUGAACAGAGUUAGGCUGCAACUGUGUUCUACUUCACAGGGAAAUGUGCAGGCAGAGGCAGGCACUGUCGGGAUGGACAUCUUCAGAAAGCAUUUCUGGGAGUUGGGAAGUUCAAGGUCACGGUGCUGGAAGAUUUGGUGUCUGCUGAGGGCCACUUCCUCGUUCAGAGAUGGCUGUCUUCUCAUUAUAUUCUCACACAUUGGAAAGAUGGCAAGCUAGCUCUCUGGAAUCCCUUUUUCUUUGUUGUGAUUCCGUGUUUCUCAUGGAUCUCUGGAGACAGCUUCCGGCUUGAGGAGAGAAUAUCAAUAGCCCACAUGUUCCUCUAGGAGGCUUCCCUGCGACAGUCACGAUGCUUCCACAGAUCAGAUCUUCUCUUUCUUUAAUGAUAGUGUAAAACAACAAAAAUUAUUUAUUUUUGGGAAACAUGAAAAUCAACAAAGCAGUAAUGUCUGAGUGAGAAUAUAAUUUUGCUUCCUCUUUGUGCAAUAAGCUCAAAGGCAAAAAGUAAGCAUCAAUUGGUCUCUUUUCUGUGAUUUCAUAAAUCCAUAAUUAUAUCACAUGCAUUUAAAAAUGAAGCAAUGACCUUAAUAAAUUUGGACAGAACUUAGACACUACAAUGAAAUAAGUACUG